GCCGGCAGCCAUAUCACCCUGCAACUCAGAACUGGCAGCCCACUGAAGCUAAGCAGGUGUGAGCCUGGUCAGUACCUGGAUGGGAGACCUCCUUGGAAAAACUAAGGUUGCUGCUGGAA
ensembl:rRNA 5S_rRNA 5S ribosomal RNA